rnacentral:rRNA from 1 species
UACAGAGGGGGCAAGCGUUGUUCGGAAUUACUGGGCGUAAAGCGCACGUAGGCGGCUUACUAAGUCAGGGGUGAAAUCCUGGAGCUCAACUCCAGAACUGCCUUUGAUACUGGUAAGCUCGAGUCCGGGAGAGGUGAGUGGAACUGCGAGUGUAGAGGUGAAAUUCGUAGAUAUUCGCAAGAACACCAGUGGCGAAGGCGGCUCACUGGCCCGGUACUGACGCUGAGGUGCGAAAGCGUGGGGAGCAAACAGG